rnacentral:misc_RNA from 1 species
GCCCAGGAAGUAGAGCAGGGCGCCAAACAAAGCCAAAUUCUGAGUGAACUUGAUGAAAAGUUGAACAAAUUCAGGCUUUUCCAUCUCAUAGUUGUAGAAGUCGUACACGACCGGAGUGAUGAAUGCCAAAUACAAAAGCAGAAGAGAAGCACCAAAUGAGGUACCAAAGAUAAACAGAAGGCCUCCGAGCCCUUUAAGAACAAUGGUG